rnacentral:rRNA from 1 species
UACAGAGGUCUCAAGCGUUGUUCGGAUUCAUUGGGCGUAAAGGGUGCGUAGGUGGCGCUGUAAGUCGGGUGUGAAAUUUCGGAGCUUAACUCCGAAACUGCAUUCGAUACUGCGGUGCUUGAGGACUGGAGAGGAGACUGGAAUUCAUGGUGUAGCAGUGAAAUGCGUAGAUAUUCGCAAGAACACCAGUGGCGAAGGCGGCUCACUGGCCCGAUACUGACGCUGAGGCACGAAAGCGUGGGGAGCAAACAGG